rnacentral:rRNA from 1 species
CCCUUAGAUGUUCUGGGCCGCACGCGCGCUACACUGAUGCAUUCAACGAGUUUCUUCCUGGUCCGAGAGGAAUGGGUAACCUUUUGAAAGUGCACCGUGAUAGGGAUAGACUAUUGCAAUUAUUGGUCUUCAACGAGGAAUUCCUAGUAGACGUAGUUCAUCAGACUGCAUCGAUUACGUCCCUGCCCUUUGUACACACCGCCCGUCGCUCCUACCGAUUGAAUGCUCAGGUGAGCCAUUCGGACUUUCAUCAUGCUGGUUUCCAGUUUUGAUGAAGGAAAGUCUUGCGAACCUUAUCAUUUAGAGGAAGGAGAAGUCGUAACA